rnacentral:rRNA from 1 species
AGAGUUUGAUCCUGGCUCAGAAUCAACGCUGGCGGCGUGCCUAACACAUGCAAGUCGAACGCGAAAGCCCCGCAAGGGGCAAGUAGAGUGGCAAACGGGUGAGUAACACGUGGGUGACCUGCCUUCGAGCGGGGGAUAACGUCCCGAAAGGGACGCUAAUACCGCAUGACAUCCUGCCUUUGAAGAGGCGGAGAUCAAAGCCGGGGAUCGCAAGACCUGGCACUCGGAGAGGGGCCCGCGCCUGAUUAGCUAGUUGGUGGGGUAAUGGCCUACCAAGGCAACGAUCAGUAUCCGGCCUGAGAGGGCGGACGGACACACUGGGACUGAGACACGGCCCAGACUCCUACGGGAGGCAGCAGUGGGGAAUUGUUCGCAAUGGGCGCAAGCCUGACGACGCAACGCCGCGUGGAGGAUGAAGAUUUUCGGAUCGUAAACUCCUGUCGAAUGGGACGAAUAGAUCUCGGGUGAACAUCUCGAGGUCCUGACGGUACCGUUAAAGGAAACCCCGGCUAACUCCGUGCCACGCCGCCGCCGUAAC